rnacentral:rRNA from 1 species
UACGUAGGGUGCGAGCGUUAAUCGGAAUUACUGGGCGUAAAGUGUGCGCAGGCGGCAGAGCAAGUCGAGUGUGAAAGCCCCGGGCUUAACUUGGGAAUUGCGCUCGAAACUACUUUGCUGGAGUGUGGCAGAGGAAGGUGGAAUUCCACGUGUAGCGGUGAAACGCGUAGAGAUGUGGAGGAACACCAAUGGCGAAGGCAGCCCCCUGGGCUGAGAUUGACGCUCAGGCACGAAAGCGUGGGGAGCAAACAGG